GUUUUGGUAAAUGAUAAGUUAAGCAAGGAUGUGCUAAGAGAUUAUUACAGGUUAAAGAGGUAGAAAGCAAAAGGUAGAUCAUAAAAGGUCAAUGUUGUAUGUUGCAACAAUUUGAUAUGUUUUAGUGGAAAUAAGAUAGCAUUGUCAUAUACUUUGUUAACAUUUGCCAUAAUCAGUGUAGGUUAAUGAAGCUUUUGGGCGGUGAUGGAUAAUUGACUAAGAGUGCUCUCUUCCUGUUAGUGAAUCUUAGGAUGUUUAUGUCUAAGUUAACUCAGUUGUAUGCAAAUGAGAUAGUAACACUAAAUGGAGUAUCAUUAAGUGUCAUAAAAGAUAAAAAUCUCGAUACCUGAGGAUGAUGUUUGCCUAUCAUUCUCAA
rnacentral:lncRNA from 1 species